AUUACUUCAUCAUUGAAGUGGUAGAAUUGGGUCCUCGAAAUUAUUUUUGUUUCAGAUGGGCCUGGGCAGACUUGGUGUGAAUUCUCCCUGCUUUCUCCUUCUCUAGGUCCAGCCACCCAUGGAAGCAGAGGAGAAAUCAAGGUGCCUAUCUCCCAACAUGUUCCUUACUCCUGGAUUCCAACUCUUUCUUCCAUUGAGGUUUCCACAUUCUCAUCCACAGCCCUUAUCUGUAUAA
rnacentral:lncRNA from 1 species